rnacentral:tRNA from 1 species
UCCUCGGUAGCUCAGUCGGUAGAGCAACUGGCUGUUAACCAGUGGGUCGGCGGUUCGAGCCCGUCCCGGGGAG